rnacentral:rRNA from 1 species
UGCGUAGGGUGCGAGCGUUAAUCGGAAUUACUGGGCGUAAAGUGUGCGCAGGCGGCAGAGCAAGUCGAGUGUGAAAGCCCCGGGCUUAACUUGGGAAUUGCGCUCGAAACUACUUUGCUGGAGUGUGGCAGAGGAAGGUGGAAUUCCACGUGUAGCGGUGAAAUGCGUAGAGAUGUGGAGGAACACCAAUGGCGAAGGCAGCCUUCUGGGCCAACACUGACGCUCAUGCACGAAAGCGUGGGGAGCAAACAGG